rnacentral:lncRNA from 10 species
GGCCCCUGUUCACUGACCUCACCUCCCUGCCCACUGCAUGGAGCCACGAAGGACCCGGCAGGCUGGGAGCCAAGGCAUGACCCUGGAAACAGCAGUGCAGGAAGAGCGGGUGCCAUGGGUGGAGUCGGACCUGCCUCUGCCCACUGUCGGGGGCUCCGCUGUCGCCUCCCAAACCUGGCUUUAGUCCAGCUUGGGUGGCUCGGGCCUCCCUUGAGGUAGCCUCUGCUGCGCCCCCACCCCCACCGUGAACCCUCCAAGGGAAGGCCCUGGAGUAGGAGGGGUCUUGGUUCAGCCUGUCCUGAGCUUGUGGCCCUUUAAAUCCUGGGAACCAGGCUCCACUAGACGUGGCCUCUGGAGCACAGGUCUCUCCCAAACAUCACCAAAAUGACCGAAGAGGAAGAGGGAGGUGCCGUUUGCAGGAAAGAGAGAACGGGAGUGGAGCAGCAGCCACCAGUGAGGGAAGAGGUGGCAAAGUGCUCCAUGGCUGGGGUGCCUAUCUUGGCAGAGUGGAGCAGAUGAAAGGCCCAUCUGCCGACAAGACCACUGCCACCCUCUGCCACCCUCCACCACCCUCCGCCAGGUCACCAGAAUGCCAGGCCUCACUCAUGAUCAGCUGAGCACCAGCAGGCAGGUGAGAAGAGCCUCCAGUGUGGAGCAGGUCAACCAGCAACAGAGCCAGGGAGACCCAUGGAGUCCAGAGAAAACGGUAACAACGGCAGCAGCACCCAGAGACUGGCUCCCAGUGAGUUAAGCCCAGCCGCGACCCUUGGAUGUGCCAGCUGAUUUAAUACUCAUGAUAAACCCAGUAGGUCAGUGCCAGUAUUAUGAGAGAAGUGAGGCACAGAAUGUCACAUCCACCUCCCCAAAGUCAACAGCUAGGAGUGACAGAGCCAGGAUUCUGCCAGGCAGGUUGGCCUCAGAGGCCACACUUCUUAUCCCAAUAAUAAAAGUGAACAAGAACAGGAUGAAGUUAGAGUGAGAGAGCGAGAGUGGUAACACUCAUGCAAUCAGAGAACAAGAGAAAGCUCAAUGGAAACAUGUAUUCACUGACAG